rnacentral:lncRNA from 1 species
AAAAAACUCUAAAGUUCAAUCAAAAGAAAUUCACUUACGAGACUCAACGUCCCUAACCUAUCUUCUAAGUCUCUCUCACACCCACAGUCCCACGGCGCGACCUCUCUCAUUUUCUCACCAAAUCGCCAAUAUUGCCCAACGUCGGUAGCCGAUUUUCCAUGGUCAAGGGUCAUCGGUAAGACCUCUCUUAGUUUCAUGCUUCUUCCAUUGAUUUUCAUUUGGUUGACUGGUUCUUUCCAAAUGUACUUUGAGUAUUCUUUAUUUUGUCUGCACAGUUUCAAUUGGAUCAUCUCGAGGUCUUGUAUCUGCAUAGGUUAUGUGGCGACCGAAGACCCAGAAGAAUUUUUAGAAAAAGAAAGAAAUAAUUUCGGAGGAAGAGAGAAAUUUAGAGAAAGAAUGAUUUAGAUUUGAAUUGUGGCGACCGAAGACCCAGAAGAACAGGCGCGCAAUAGUCGUCUCUAGGUAUUUCUUUCAUCGUUUUGGGCAAGUCUUGGAGGGGUUUUUGGCAGUCAGAAUAACGGUCAAGAAGAAAAAGAAGAAGACUUAGAAAUGGCUUCAAAAGCUGUUGUUCAAGAACAACCCAGUGGCAACAAUAGUAAAUGAAAAUAAUCCAAUUUUAUAACACCGAUCAUAGUUUGGACUGAUUUUUGAAGGGAUUAUUGAUCAAUUUUGGGAUGCACUCUUUUUCUUUCUUUAAGUUGAUUAAUUACUACUGCAGACCAAUCAGACCAAAAGAUUAAUAUCAAUUAAGUUAGGUUAUUUAAGUAUAAUAUGAUAAGGAUAGCAUUGCAAGAUUAACUGACCCUUCUUAGUUGAUAUUGGAUAAGUGGUGUCAUUCUAUUAUGUGGUGGGAGUUUGAGUAAAGUGUUUCAUUCUUAGAGUUGCAGCAGGCAUAUUGGGACGGUUGAUUAAUGAGUAUUUUAGUGUUUUUAGUGUUUCAUCAAUCUGCUCAAGUUGGGAUGAGUAUUCUAUUGUAACUUUUUUUUCUGGGAACAUUAUCUCUAUCCUCUUUUUGAUGGAAGAAUGCAUCUCUUUAGAAGUUCAUGCUGUAAAUGGAAGUCAUUGUUGAAUAAUACUUCGCUCAUCUCUCUUCUCACUUCAUGUCUGUGAAAUAGGUUGAGUAAUACACUUAAAUUUGGAGGCGGCUAAAUUAUCGGACAUGGGAUGGAUGAUUGUUGUGUUGUGGUUGAGGCUGAAAAUCUGAUUGUUAUCGGUAUAUUUUGUGUUAGAGAUUCCAUUUAUUGGCUUUCUUCUUGUUACACUUUUUUAACCAGAUUUUGUAAAUAUAGAAUUUAAAUUUCAGUAAUAUGACAUAUAUAAAUUUGCUCAACAUUCUAUAACUUCGCUUUUUCUAGAUUGGUUUUUCCACAUUUGUUGUUAUACAUGGUGUUAACUAGAAGGAGAGUUGAAACAGGGUGAAGUAGGGGAAGUGUGGUAAGAGUUGAGAAGGGGAGGAAAUGGCUGAGAUUGCUACUGUCUGAAGUAGGGAGGUCAAAGUCACUAGAAGGAGUUUCUACUGUGCAGCAGCGGUAGUGCCAACCUGGGGAAGCAUUGGCUGAAUGGAGGUCUUCUUAGCACUAGUCAAGUGUAAUCUCUGCAUGAUAUUAGUCACAUGUUAUCUCUGCAUUUUUGUCUUACACUUACACCUUGAGGUGUUCAUCACAUGAGAAAUCAAGAUGCUGGAUUGAGAAGGAAAAUCUGCAGACAGAUGCAGGGAUUGAUACAGAAAAACUAUUAACAAGCCUGAAGUGAUUGAAAUUAUAUUGCUCGUAUUUAUUGGAAGUUAGGGUGAUUCUUUAACUCUUGUUAUUUAUUGACCUUUUUUACUUAUGUAAGAAAGAAAAACAUGCCUAUAUUUUUCUUUGCUUUUAGAAUUUUGGAUCUGGAUUUUGUACAGAUAUUGUUACAUUUUCAAGCUCAGUUAAGAAUUAUUAUUGGAGUUAUUUGAGAUAGUUA